ACUGACGGAGCCAGCGAGCUUUUCCUUAGCCGAGAGGUUUGGGUAAUCUUGUGAAACUCCGUCGUGCUGGGGAUAGAGCAUUGUAAUUAUUGCUCUCAACGAGGAAUUCCUAGUAAGCGCAAGUCAUCAGCUUGCGUUGAUUACGUCCCUGCCCUUUGUACACACCGCCCGUCGCUAGUACCGAUUGAAUGGCUUAGUGAGGCUUCAGGAUUUGCUUAGAUCGAGGGGCAACUCUCUUUCAGAGCGGAGAAUCUAGUCAAACUUGGUCAUUUAGAGGAACUAAAAGUCGUAACAAGGUUUCCGUAGGUGAACCUGCGGAAGGAUCAUUA
rnacentral:ncRNA from 1 species